UGGGGAAUUUUGGACAAUGGGGGAAACCCUGAUCCAGCCAUCCCGCGUGUGCGAUGAAGGCCUUCGGGUUGUAAAGCACUUUUGGCAGGAAAGAAACGUCAUGGGUUAAUACCCCGUGAAACUGACGGUACCUGCAGAAUAAGCACCGGCUAACUACGUGCCAGCAGCCGCGGUAAUACGUAGGGUGCAAGCGUUAAUCGGAAUUACUGGGCGUAAAGCGUGCGCAGGCGGUUCGGAAAGAAAGAUGUGAAAUCCCAGAGCUCAACUUUGGAACUGCAUUUUUAACUACCGGGCUAGAGUGUGUCAGAGUGAGGUGGAAUUCCGCGUGUAGCAGUGACAUGCGUACAUAUGCGGAGGAACACCGAUGGCGAAGGCAGCCUCCUGGGAUAACACUGACGCUCAUGCACGAAAGCGUGGGGAGCAAACAGG
rnacentral:rRNA from 1 species